UCCUACGGGGGGCAGCAGUGGGGAAUAUUGGACAAUGGGCGCAAGCCUGAUCCAGCCAUGCCGCGUGUGUGAAGAAGGCCUUCGGGUUGUAAAGCACUUUCAGUAGGGAGGAAGAGUUGAGUGUUAAUAGUACUCAGCUUUGACGUUACCUACAGAAGAAGCACCGGCUAACUCUGUGCCAGCAGCCGCGGUAAUACAGAGGGUGCAAGCGUUAAUCGGAAUUACUGGGCGUAAAGCGCACGCAGGCGGUUGGUUAAGUCAGAUGUGAAAGCCCCGGGCUCAACCUGGGAAUUGCAUUUGAAACUGGCCAACUAGAGUACGUGAGAGGGGGGUAGAAUUCCAAGUGUAGCGGUGAAAUGCGUAGAGAUUUGGAGGAAUACCAGUGGCGAAGGCGGCCCCCUGGCACGAUACUGACGCUCAGGUGCGAAAGCGUGGGGAGCAAACAGGAUUAGAUACCCCAGUAGUCCU
rnacentral:rRNA from 1 species